CAAACGGCUUUUCUAAAAGCCACAAAAUUGAAGAACAAUUUAUUCG
rfam:Trichoplax adhaerens TRIADscaffold_4 genomic scaffold, whole genome shotgun sequence.